UUUCCUCCAGGACCUUCUGCUGGGGAGUGCCCGGGCAUGGCCUGAGGACAGAGAAGAAAGCCCCUGUCCCUCCCCAGGAAGAACCCACUUUCUUCUGGGGCCAGUGCCAAAAAC